GGGGCCGUAGCCCAACGGCAGAGGCACAUGGUUUAGGUCCAUGCCAGUGUGAGUUCGAAUCUCACCGGCCCCACC
rnacentral:tRNA from 3 species